GAAGAGAUCAGAUCACCUGUGUGCUGCUCCGGUGACGUUUAUGAAAAAAAAACAUUUGUAAAAAGUUAAAAGGACUUCUGAAGACUGAAAUAUUAUUCCCUUGUUUGCAGCAUGCCAUGCAGCCGAAGAGAGUUUUCGUAGAGUAGGGCUGAGUGGAGAAGCGCAGGUAGCACUCUCUGUAGAACCACACAGUCAGAGGGUUCCAGUCGGUCACCAGGAACCACUGACGGAGGUCAAACUUGGUGCCGUGGACCAACAGAGGACGUUCCAGAAACGCCAUUUCUGCCUUUUCGUUGAUCGACCUCUGCUUCCUUCUUCCUCCGUCUACUCUUCUCGACAACAUGCUGCAGCAGGCUGGUGCAAGCAGUCCUUCUGAAGUCCUCUUGGUUUUCACCACAUACAGAGGGAGAUGCAGAAGGGACAUAGGUUUGGUAAAGAUGCGAAUAUAAUGUGAAGCGUGAUAAGUCAUCUUAAAACUUUCGUUUACACUUGCUAUUGAUCCUGAACGUAAAUAUGCCUCUUUCCGUGUUCCAUUCACACCCUUGCAUCUUUGAUACAAAGGCAGUUUGGCUACGUGUUAAUAGAGCCACAUAGCAAACCUAUAAACGCAUGCUUUUCAUCCUCUGCUCCAAGUCUGUAGCAUCUUGGGAAGAAGGUGUCAGGAUCCGCUGUGUCAAACCACUGAAGGUUUCGCAGGUUCACACAGAGCCCCACCUGAGAGGAACAUGUCGGAGGAGACAUAG